GAUGAACGCUGGCGGCGUGCCUAAUACAUGCAAGUCGAGCGAUCGGACGAGAAGCUUGCUUCUCUGAUGUUAGCGGCGGACGGGUGAGUAACACGUGGAUAACCUACCUAUAAGACUGGGAUAACUUCGGGAAACCGGAGCUAAUACCGGAUAACAUUUUGAACCGCAUGGUUCAAAAGUGAAAGACGGUCUUGCUGUCACUUAUAGAUGGAUCCGCGCUGCAUUAGCUAGUUGGUAAGGUAACGGCUUACCAAGGCAACGAUGCAUAGCCGACCUGAGAGGGUGAUCGGCCACACUGGAACUGAGACACGGUCCAGACUCCUACGGGAGGCAGCAGUAGGGAAUCUUCCGCAAUGGGCGAAAGCCUGACGGAGCAACGCCGCGUGAGUGAUGAAGGUCUUCGGAUCGUAAAACUCUGUUAUUAGGGAAGAACAUAUGUGUAAGUAACUGUGCACAUCUUGACGGUACCUAAUCAGAAAGCCACGGCUAACUACGUG
rnacentral:rRNA from 1 species